GGAUGCGAUCAUACCAGCACUAAAGCACCGGAUCCUAUCAGAACUCUGAAGUUAAGCGUGCUUGGGUGAGAGUAGUACUAGGAUGGGUGACCUCCUGGGAAGUCCUCGUGUUGCAUUCC
rnacentral:rRNA from 1 species